rnacentral:misc_RNA from 1 species
UGUUGCAACUGAUGCAUGACUUCCUACAAGAAGUUAAAAUAUUAAUCUUCUUCCUAACUUUAUAUCUACCAGCAUAGCAUAGCCUAGUGUAUCCCCACUGUAAAUAUAGGCAUUUCAUGUUCUCUAGCCCAAUGAACACCUAGUAUGGCACCAUGGAAAUGAUUUUUCAAACUCUAUAAAUUUUUUAUGGGACCAUUAAAUGUGUUUCAAUCCUGACAAUUUUAACUCAUUUAAUCAAUAACCCUCAUUCUUAUUGCACCAAACCUUCACCAUAACAACAAUGAAUUUUUAGCACAAGCAAAUUCUUACUUCCAUCCAGAAAUUAGCUAUUCAGUAUUCACAACAUUAAAAAGUCAAUAUUUCAAUUUUAUAUGGAAUAAAAGAGGUAGAAAAAAAAAUACCUUAUCCCAG